AUGGCAGCGGGGCCAGAGCUGGGGGAGCCGCUUUCUGCCACCGAUCAAAGAUGAAGAGGUUUUUAAGAGCGGUGUCGUUAUUUUUGCUACCUCGUGUGCUGAAGAAACAGCUGUUGUUCUUUUGCAGGUGUUCGGCACUGAGCCUGGCUGCGAUAAAGCUGUCACGGAGGCUCUCCAGAAACGCCUCAGCCCAAAGCUAUCACGCCGAUGGGUUCCUCCAAACCCUCCUCUGAAAAUAUAAUUAAAAAUGAGACAGAAGGAGCCUUGUUCUCACAACGGCUCCCAAAUCUUAAAGCUGGGGCUAUGGAGAGGCUGAGGGAGCGGGGCCUGUUCAGCCUGGAGAAGAGACGGCCCCGGGGGGAGGCUGACGCAGAAGGAAGUGGGCAUAGAGGGAGACAGGACACAUCUCGGGAAGUUUUGGAUCAGAGGUUGGAGAAGAGACUGAGGUUGGAAAGACAGAAGGAAAUGGGUUCACUCCACUGAACGGCUGGUGCGCUUGUGAACGUGUUAGCUGGCUUCAUCUGGCACUGGGAGAGGGCGAAGCCCCCCAGCUAAGAAGGCACCUACAGAGGUGGCGUGGCUCCUUGCUGGGCAGAGGCAGGAGGAGGGCAGCGGCUGCAGGCUUCGCUCGACCAGCCCUGGCUCUUGCUGCCCCUGCCUAUCUCAUGCGAGACAGCAUCCAGUGGCAGGGUAAGGGGAAGGUAGGGAAACAUAUCACCAGAUAAAGGAGCUGCGGGAGGAAGGUAGCAGGCUGCGUAGCAUCCAAGAAGAUGAGCAGCAGAUUGACGGUAUUCUCGGAGACUGUGCAGCUCCAGGAGUCCCCAUCUGCCACUGCAGCAGAGUUGUCGGAGGGCUCUGUACCAUGUGUAAUGGUCCAUCAUAACACUGUUGAAGAAGGCUGGAAACUGGUGACCUCUCGUAGAAGGAGACAGGCUCUUGCUCCUCCUCAAGAGUUGCCUUAGAAGAACAAGUGUAGCGCCCUCCAAGCUGAAGAGGAGCUGGGCAUGGCUCCAAGGGAGGCAACUGGCCUGGCAGACCCUGUGCCAUGCAGGAACAGCUGGAAGAAGCGGCAAGUGAUUGUUGUGGGUGACUGCAUGCUGCAGGGGACAGAGGCACCUAUCUGCCGAACUGACCUCUUGUCCAGAGAGGUUUGCUGCCUGCCAGGGGCUCGAAUAAGAGAUGUCAUGGAAAGACUGCCAAGGCUUGUCCACGC
rnacentral:lncRNA from 1 species